CAGUCUUGUGCCAUUCCCGUGGAGGCAGCCGAUGAGGAUUAACGGUUUGUCAAGCGGAGUGCACUUCUAAUG
rnacentral:pre_miRNA from 1 species